UGGGGAAUAUUGGACAAUGGGCGCAAGCCUGAUCCAGCCAUGCCGCGUGAGUGAUGACGGCCUUAGGGUUGUAAAGCUCUUUCGCUCGGGACGAUAAUGACGGUACCGAGAUAAGAAGCCCCGGCUAACUUCGUGCCAGCAGCCGCGGUAAUACGAAGGGGGCUAGCGUUGUUCGGAAUUACUGGGCGUAAAGCGCGUGUAGGCGGGUCUUUAAGUCAGAGGUGAAAUGCCAAGGCUCAACCUUGGAACUGCCUUCGAUACUGGAGAUCUUGAGUCCGGGAGAGGUGAGUGGAAUUGCGAGUGUAGAGGUGAAAUUCGUAGAUAUUCGCAAGAACACCAGUGGCGAAGGCGGCUCACUGGCCCGGAACUGACGCUGAGACGCGAAAGCGUGGGGAGCAAACAGGAUUAGAUACCCUGGUAGUCCACGCUGUAAACGAUGGAUGCUAGCCGUUGGGGAGCUUGCUCUUCAGUGGCGCAGCUAACGCUUUAAGCAUCCCGCCUGGGGAGUACGGUCGCAAGAUUA
rnacentral:rRNA from 1 species